rfam:Capsicum annuum cultivar Zunla-1 chromosome 11, whole genome shotgun sequence
UACUGAUGAUGUGGACAGUCUUGAAAAAAAGAUAUGAACCUCUCCCAAGCAUGAUAUAAAUUUUCAUUUGACUUCUGCUUGAAGCUUAAUAUCUCACUGCGUAAUCU